rfam:Branchiostoma floridae genomic scaffold BRAFLscaffold_37, whole genome shotgun sequence.
UCACUCUGGUUUCCCUUCAAUCCACCACGCACAAAUCUUUCGCCUUUUACUAAAGAUUUCCGUGGAGGGGAACAAUCAAUGAGUCUAUAAACAAUUUUUCUCUGCCCUGCCUUGUGCAGGGCU